rnacentral:rRNA from 1 species
UACGUAGGGUCCGAGCGUUGUCCGGAAUUACUGGGCGUAAAGAGCUCGUAGGUGGUUUGUCGCGUUGUUCGUGAAAACUCACAGCUCAACUGUGGGCGUGCGGGCGAUACGGGCAGACUGGAGUACUGCAGGGGAGACUGGAAUUCCUGGUGUAGCGGUGGAAUGCGCAGAUAUCAGGAGGAACACCGGUGGCGAAGGCAGCUCGCUGGGACGGUACUGACGCUGAGGCGCGAAAGCGUGGGGAGCGAACAGG